GGAGGCGUCGCAUAGCUGGUUGAGUGCACCGGUCUCGAAAACCGGAGGGGGCGUAAGCCUCUCAGAGGUUCGAAUCCUCUCGCCUCCG
rnacentral:tRNA from 1 species